GCUUCGAUAGCUCAACUGGUAGAGCAUUCGGCUGUUAACCGAACGAUUAUAGGUUCGACUCCUAUUCGGAACG
rnacentral:tRNA from 1 species